rnacentral:rRNA from 1 species
CACGUAGGGGGCAAGCGUUGUCCGGAUUUAUUGGGCGUAAAGAGCUCGUAGGCGGUUCGGUAAGUCGGGUGUGGAACCUCCAGGCUCAACCUGGAGAGGCCACCUGAUACUGCUGUGACUCGAGUCCGGUAGGGGAGCGUGGAAUUCCUGGUGUAGCGGUGAAAUGCGCAGAUAUCAGGAGGAACACCAGCGGCGAAGGCGGCGCUCUGGGCCGGAACUGACGCUGAGGAGCGAAAGCGUGGGUAGCAAACAGG